UCAGGGGUAGCUUAAUUGGUAGAGCACCUGACUCUGAAUCAGGUGGUUAUAGGUUCGAGUCCUAUCUCCUGAG
rnacentral:tRNA from 2 species